UACGGAGGGUGCGAGCGUUGUCCGGAAUCAUUGGGCGUAAAGGGCGCGUAGGUGGCCCGGUCAGUCUUUGGUGAAAGCGCGGGGCUCAACCCUGCGUCGGCCAGGGAUACUGCCGCGGCUCGAGCACUGUAGAGGCAGGCGGAAUUCCGGGUGUAGCGGUGGAAUGCGUAGAGAUCCGGAAGAACACCGGUGGCGAAGGCGGCCUGCUGGGCAGUUUGGCUGGACACUGGAGGCGCGACAGCGUGGGGAGCAAACAGGG
rnacentral:rRNA from 1 species